AGAAUUUUGAGAGAUCUCAUGUAGCAAUCUUUUUGGGACUCUUUAUGUAAUUUUUACAGCUAGAUGUGUAAUUUUUGCUGUGAUUUUGGCCUGUCCAGGAGCUCGGCCUCACCAACUGCACCUACUGGUCCACCGGCGAUCAUCAGAAGUCCUUAAGGUUUGAACCUUGUUCUUGCAUUAGUGGGUGAUCUCAUAGUUCUUACUUUUUGAUAUAUAUGCUGAAACCACUCCUUUUAUCUUGUGAAAGAUACGAUCUUGUUUUUCUGCUAAUCCCGAUGCCUUAAGGCUUGCACGAAAUUGUUAUAUCACAAUUUAUUUCUUUGCACCAUUUUUCCAUGCUUGAUAGGUUUCUUAGUUCUGAUUUUUUUUUGAAAUAUUGCACUGCAGUUUCCUUCUCUCUUGCUAGCUUUCUUUUCCAUGCUUGAUGAUUUUUUUAACAACUUGUGAAAGACUUGUUCUUAUUCUGUUAUACUGAUGUGUUCAGUGAAUCAAUGUUGGAGGACCAAUUUCGCAAACAAAAAUGUUGAAAUGCUUGGAUGGAAUUUUUAUCUUCCGAUGUUUCUUUCUUUCUUACAUGCUUUCUUUCUUUUUAUUUCUGGCUAUUUUUUUAGUAUGUUCUGGGAUUUUAAUACUAUGGUAAUAUGAUUUUCUUUCUUUUCUAUGCUCAAUAAAUUUCUUAUUUUUUGUGAAAAAUUCAAUCUUUUGCUAUUCUACUGACUUGUUCGGUGAUCUCAACAGUGGUUUUGUUGAAUAGAAUUAUUUUAUUGCAGUUUUUCCUUUCAUUCGUUCUUUCUUCUCUUUUUCUUUUCCAUGCUUCAUAGAUUUCUUCUGUGCCUGAUAGAUUGCUUCUUUCUUGUGAAUGAUUUGAUGUUGUGCUAAUUCACCAAUAUGCUCAGUGAUUUUAAUGCUGGAACACUUGAAGCGGUAAGUGUUUUGUGGUUUAUUUUUUCUUUCCCUGAUUGAACAUGGUAGGGACUUGAGUUAUGAGAGUUAUAGUAACUGCAGUUCUUUUGAAUUUGGGAUUCCUUGAGGUGUAAUUUGAGGCAUCUAUGUAUGUACAUAUGUAUGUAUUAUGAACUUAUAUGGGAAAAUCUUCGG
rnacentral:lncRNA from 1 species